rnacentral:lncRNA from 1 species
CGCUGCCAACCCUUCACUGCCUCUCGCACAUAGCGCAUCUCCCAUUUUUCAUCUUCAUCGGACGACUUCCGAAGAAGGAGAGCAAAGGUUUCAGUCUCGCUUCGUCGCCAUGAGAGCCAAGGUACAACUAAAAUCAAAACCCUAAUAGAAACUUCAAAUUGUUUACGUCUAUACAUCGUCGUUCUUGUGUUUUUGUUGAAAAGUGUUUUUUUUUUCUGAUAAGCUUAUCAAAGAAUGCCAUAGCUUCCGAUCCUUGAAAAAUGAAAUUGAUAUAAAUGGUAAAAUGUGCUGCAGUGGAAGAAGAAGCGCAUGAGGAGGUUGAAGAGGAAGCGCCGAAAGAUGAGGCAGAGAUCUAAGUGAUAGCUUCAGCUGUGCAGCUCUUUCGCAUGGCGUUUCUAUCUUUAGGCUUUUGAGUUUUGUCAGACUUAGUGGUUUGUUAGAAUUAAUAUGAGAAACCCUUGGUGUUCUUAUUUCUAUCUUUCUGCUACAUUUCCUAAUCUUUCAAUGAAAUUUGACUUUUUUUUUUUAAAAAUUAGUUGGUUUAGUUUGAUGAAAUUAUGAAUUUACAUGUUGCUAAUUGGAAUGUGGUUUCUGAAA